rnacentral:rRNA from 1 species
UGAUCCAGACUUUGAUUCUGGCUCAGGAUGAACGCUGGCGGCGUGCUUAACACAUGCAAGUCGAACGAAGCAUUUAAGACAGAUUUUUUCGGAAUGAAGUUUUCUAUGACUGAGUGGCGGACGGGUGAGUAACGCGUGGGUAACCUGCCUCACACAGGGGGAUAGCAGUUGGAAACGACUGGUAAUACCGCAUAAGCGCACAGCUUCGCAUGAAGCGGUGUGAAAAACUCCGGUGGUGUGAGAUGGACCCGCGUCUGAUUAGGUAGUUGGUGAGGUAACGGCCCACCAAGCCGACGAUCAGUAGCCGACCUGAGAGGGUGACCGGCCACAUUGGGACUGAGACACGGCCCAGACUCCUACGGGAGGCAGCAGUGGGGAAUAUUGCACAAUGGAGGAAACUCUGAUGCAGCGACGCCGCGUGAGUGAAGAAGUAUUUCGGUAUGUAAAGCUCUAUCAGCAGGGAAGACAGUGACGGUACCUGACUAAGAAGCUCCGGCUAAAUACGUGCCAGCAGCCGCGGUAAUACGUAUGGAGCAAGCGUUAUCCGGAUUUACUGGGUGUAAAGGGAGUGUAGGUGGUAUCACAAGUCAGAAGUGAAAGCCCGGGGCUCAACCCCGGGACUGCUUUUGAAACUGUGGAACUGGAGUGCAGGAGAGGUAAGUGGAAUUCCUAGUGUAGCGGUGAAAUGCGUAGAUAUUAGGAGGAACACCAGUGGCGAAGGCGGCUUACUGGACUGUAACUGACACUGAGGCUCGAAAGCGUGGGGAGCAAACAGGAUUAGAUACCCUGGUGGUCCACGCCGUAAACGAUGAAUACUAGGUGUCGGGGCUCAUAAGAGCUUCGGUGCCG